UCAGAAAUGCAAAAGAAGCUAUGCUAAUGAUAUAUGAGUAAAUUAACAGAAGCAUAUUUAAUCUGAUAGCCAGAGAUGACAAAUUUUGUUCUACCUUUUUCAAAAUUAUCCUUUACGCAAUAAUUGUAAAUGCUCAAUUUGUUCUUCAUAAACUCUGCAUGAGGAAAAAGAUGCAUAGAAUAGGAAUGUAUCACCGGGGUCAGUGAAUCCAGUCCUAUACAGCUCCAUAGGAGACAGUUAAUCUAUAAAGGUCUAGGGAGCAAUCCUGCCUCAAGCCCACCCACUUCACAACAGACUACAUAAGCUGUACAUCCAGAGGGAACAAAAGCUGUAACCCCAAUGUGCUCUCCAUUAUGCAGUAUCAGGGAAAUAUGAGCGAUAUACCCCAUGGCCACAGUUCCUUCCUCAUAACUUAAAAGAAGGCUGACCACUUGAUUUUUUUUUUUUUUUUGACAAGAACUAUUAAAAAUGUUAAAAUUUCUUCCUAAAUACCCUUUGAAAUAUUUAAAAAUAUUUUUAAUUAGGUCUUUUUGCCCCCAUGACAAUGUUCUUCCCAUGAGUUGCCUGCAACACACUCCCACACUCUUCCUGUGUCCUUAGGAGUUAGCACACCUUUCAGCUGGCCUUUUGCCACACUCUUUGGUUCUGGCUUAGCCAGUCUCACACACUCAGUGUGAGCUUUACAUUUCCUUCCCCCUCCAUGUUCCUGCCUGUUGCAUGUAUAUCUCAAAUAUUUGCUACACAGCUGCUGUGGCCACUCUUCCUCGUUUGACACUGUGUAAGAGGUGGUUGGUUCUGUCCUCUGCUCUCCAGAUCCACCUGGCACUGGUGAUCCUGGUGGAGGAAGAGAGCUGUGAUGCCUGCAGCUCCGGGGGAGCGUUUUCUCCUUGGUGUCCCUUGGGAAAGCGCACGCCCUCCUGCUGCGUACAGCUUUGUCCUCCCCACCACAGCGUGACUCCAUGUACAGAUUUCUUCCAAAUGCAUCACCCAGGGUGUGGAGGAACAUGCCAGGAGUAAAGAGUUGCAGCCAUGCGCGUCAUUACUUCAGCAGCUGAGUUCACAGAGUGCGAUCAGCUAUCAGCAUUUCUUCUGCCCAUCUGUGGAUUGUUCACCAACAUGUUCCCUCCUUUCUGAGGAAGAGAAGUGUAAGGAAGGAGGAGGGUAACAGGGCAGGGAAGCUGCUGAGUUUAAGACUCAUGGUUAGUAUGCUGUACAGACAGACAAAUCAAUCGGCCCCUGCCCGGGCAUCUUAAUCAGAAGCGUGUGGUUCACUGCAGUGGUUAAGUGCUACCGUGCUGGUGAUGGCAUCUUCUUCAGAGACACUAUUGAUUGCUCUUCUCUCUCUUCUGAGAUUCCAGCUGUGUAGACAGCAUCAGGGUGAGUGCUGGUGGAGAAGUGCCCUCUUACAGUUCUCCAGGAUUAGGAUCGACAGUUUAAUUUCCCCGGGGGCAGGCAAGCUGCCAUCCUAGUUCAGCCAGACUGGUGUGGGAAAGAGGAAGAAGAGGACUGUUUGAAAGGUCCAUUGAUUAUCUGAAUAAGCCUGGUGUAAGGCGAAAGAUGAUGCGGUGCAAGAAUCAUGCAAACUGAGGAACUCAAUUGUGCAGCAGGAUUUGGCCCUUAUUUGCCUGAAGCUGACAGGAGAAUGAAUGUCUGAUGAAGACUGAAUCAGUUUAAAUGCAUAGUACAAAAGAGAUUAUUUCUAUAUAGACAAGGUGGAAAUAAGAGCCCACCCUGCUGCGGGACAUCUUUGUAAGCCGAAGAGUCUGCAGUGUGUUUCAAUGUGACCUCCCAUUCCACCUCAUUAUCUUCCACUUAUUAACCCUGAUCUAACUGUUAUUGAUAGCUUCAUUACUCUGCUUGGGACAGCUGUGGCGGUCUCACUGACCUUGCCCUGGGUGAUCAGAAACUCGUUUAAUACUCAACAUACUCCUUGCAAAAGUAUGCUAAGGGAAUAAUAUAUUCAGCAUGAGAAGCAGACGUGUUUUUGCAAGGAUUUCUUGUGGUGCUACUAAUUAUCUCAAGAGGUGCAUUGUACUCCACUAAAUAUGUUGAAAACUUGUCUAAAAUGCUCUUCGAGACAAAGGUUGUAAUAAGAACAAGAGAAUAAGCAUUGCUAAUCCUUGAUGCUACAUAGUGUUAUAUUGUGGGAAAGUGGCCCAGGAAAGCAAGACUAAAUGAAAAACUAAGGAUCUAAGAUUUUACUUGCUUAUAUGGAUCUCUCUUUCUAGCCUGCCUACCUCUUGGACAGUAUCAUUAGCUGCUUUCGGAACACACAUUGUCACAGAGCAUAAAAUUUCACCUCCCACCCUCAAACAUAGCCGAUUUAUUGACAAUGUGACAGCGCUUCUGUUCUAUAAGGACUGUAUAAUGACAAGGCUUGCACUCUAUCAGGACCAGAUCCUGAGCACUUCAUGUAUGUGGAGAAUAAUUAAUGCUCUUAGAAAAAAUGAACGAGAAUCAUGACUGUCCAGUUCUUCCCUGAAGACUGCAAUUUUAUGGUAUUCUGGCUUGUGCCAUUGAGGCUUAGAUUUUUACAUGGGAAGUUGGAACACUUAGGUUAUAAGAAAUAUUUCUGUAAGUUUAUAUUGAUUUAUUCAAACUUGUAUAGAUAUAUUCAUGUGUUAUAAAGUUAUAUCUUUUUGUGAUGAAAUGAGUUCAAAAGUUAAUUUUCUGUAGUAUUUCCAUCUUUUAUAUCUCUCAGUUUCAGCAAUCAAAAUAAUCAGCUUAUUUAUUAAUCACUGGUUUUAAUUCCCAGUUUCAGUGCAUUUGCAUGUAGCUCCACUACUUGUGUCAUAGGUACAAUGCAGGAAUAUUUAAUUGCUUUAAAAUGAGGUCAUUGAUGGAACUAAAACAGAUGUGUUUUCCAUCUGCUGACACAAACAUGCAUAUGAGUGUUUUGGUUUUAGAAAAAUAAUAGUUUUUUGAAAAUCUAGUUUCACAGUCAAACUAGGCUUUUUAAUCUUAACAGAGAUAAUACUCUUGGUGUGCUUGCUAAUUGGAUAUAAGAAGGCUGAGGUUUUCUGAAAACACAUGCUAAAUUGCAUAUGGCCACAUGAAAAAUACAGCACAUGUUCUUUGUUUCAGCGAUAAUUAACAUCAUCACUCCUUGUGUGGACAGGAAAUUUAUUAAAAAUAAGUCAUCUGUUUAACAAAUAUAGAAUGCAGGAGGUUGCAAAAUAAUACUUGGUUAAAAUGACAGGACCUCAGUUUUUCAGAAAAAGAUGUCCAAACAGUCUAUCCAAAAUGCGUGCCUAUGUCAUACGGAAAAUCUCUGUUGUUAAUUCUCCUUGGAUAAAGAAAAACCAGAUCGCACAAGAUGGAUCAGCAUUGGAAACAAUCCUAUGUUUCCUAUGGAAGUGUUCUUUAAUGGAUUUCUGAUUCUUUGGGUUUGGUUUGGUUUGGUUUUUACCUUCAGGUUUCAUGUCAUUGGUCACUGAUACUCUAUUUCUUUCUAACUUUUCUGGGUUUUCAGUAGUAUCUCUGUUGUAAUAGAUUAGCAGCUACUGAAUAUCUGAAGGUAGAAAAGUCAAAACAUGUUCUUCUUAGCACUGAAAUUUCUUUGAGGCCUUUACUUUCAGAGAUUUCUGUGUUUUAGAGACUGAUCUGAGGUAGAAAUACCCAGAUUUAGGUGAAACCAUAUUUAUAGUGGUAAGAUGUUACAGCCGGGCAGAGUUCAAUAGGUGCUGUCUCUAUUUAUACUGGGACUGAAUUUGUCCUUGAGAAUUCUCCUAGGAAGUAAGAGAGGAAAGGACAGUUAUCCCACAAAUGUGUUUGCCCUUUGGAAACACUGAAAAGACCAACUAUUAUUUCCUAUAGGUGUUACACUGACAUGUCCCAAGGGAUGUGCAAUCAUUUAGUUUGGAAAAGACCCUUUAGAUCACCGAGUCAAACCAUUAACAUAACACUGCCAAGUCCACCACUAAACCAUGUCCCUAAGCACCAUGUCUAUACAUCUUUCAAAUACCUCCAGGUACGGUGGCUCCACCACUUCCCUGAGCAGCCUGUUCCAAAGCUUGAUAACCUUUUCAGUAAAGGAAUUUUUCCUAAUAUCAAGUCUAAACCUCCCUGGUGCAACUUGAGGAUGUUUCCACUCAUCAUCACUUGCUACUCAGGAGAAGAGACCAACAUCCAGUUUGCUACAACCUCCUUUCAGGUCCUCUUCCUCCCCUCUGAUCACCACGGGCUGCUCAGGAUGGCACUGUUCCAGUCCUUUUGCUAUUCAGCCUCCAGCUCAGUUGUCUGGAGUGUUCCUGCUUUACUUCUGGUGCCACAGAACCCUGAGUUCUGAGUGUUUUCUUUUUGGGCUUGAUUCUCUGUGGUACCAGUGUGAACUAGGGAACUCCGGAUGUUUCUGGCACUAAGGACCAUCUUAUUUCACCAGUGCAACUAGAGGAAAAAGGAACAGAAUCUAAAUCUGUCCAAACACAUCACUGAAGUAGAGAACUGCAGUAAAGAACAAACACCUGGUAGUGCCCUCAUCAGGCCUUAUUUCAUGAGAACAGCUGGACUUUUGCCUGAGCAAGGAUUGCAUCAUGACAUUGACAGCAUGGAAACAGGAGAUGGCCUUUUUCCAGGGAUGCUCCAGAAUCUGUGGAAUCACAAUCCAGUCGUUUAAGCGGUCUGUCAUUGUGAAAAUCUGUGUUAAAUCUUUUAUGAGUUAAGAAUUUCAUUAAAAGACAAAAGAGAAUGUCUUUUUAUGUGAGAUUUUUAGCAAGGAUGUUGCCAUGGAAUCCAUGUGUAAUGCUGGAGAUAAGGAGUAUACAUUAUUUGCUUUGGCCAGGAAGGAUCAUUCAGUCCAGCCUUGCGUAUAUGGUCCAAUUAGACUCACACAGUUUUUCUUGUAUUGAAUCUAGCACCUUAUGCUGGACUGAAGUUUAUCAACUCAAAAUGUUUGUCAAGAAACAUACCUGUUCCUUGUUUGGGUAGUUCACUUGAAGAUUUUUUUCAUCCUCACUGUUUAAAAAUGGUUGUUAUUGUGUUAAUUUUAGUUUGAUUUUAAUUUCCAGGAAUUGCUUCUUCAUUUGUCUUUCUGAAUUAGACUGAAAGAGUCCUAUAGGAGAAAGUACUAUCUUCCUUGAGAAAUCUGUGUGAAACUCUUAAUAUUUUAGUCAUAAAAGUGGUUAAUACAUUUAGUUUCAUUUAGAAUUGCACUGAAAACCUUUUUCCCUUGAUCUAGAAGUGUUUUCUUAAUUCUUGUCUGUGUCCUUAGCUUCUCAGGGAAACCUAUCUUUUUUACAAAUACUGUGGAACAACAGACAAGUAUUGUUGCACUGAAAAAGAAAUAAAGACUUCAACUUUAUUUAGAGAAAAACACACUAUUCCAAAAAUGUUUAAGCCUGGCUUACCCUUAGUGAUUCAGUGAGGGAAAGAAAACCACUACAGUCUGUACAUCUUAAAGGAUAGCUGGAAGUGCAGUGUACAUUUCUUCUGUGUAAUAGCAAACUACUGGCCAAAGUAUUUUGAGUGCCUUGCACUUGAAGAUCCCAAGUGAUUUACCUAUACUAUUAAGUAGGAUUUGCAGCACUGUGUUGACAAAGAUAAAGUAGUGUCCUCUUUCUGCAGAGGAGAAAAGAGGCAAAGCCCUAGUGACAUGAAGAUGCUGAAGUGAGUCUGAAGAAAAACUGAACCCAGAAGCCCCAAAGCUCAGGUUCCUGAGUUUCCUGGUUGAUGCCCAGUAAAAAUUAACUGAUCAUGGGUUUGAAGAAUACUGCAUGACAUUUUUUCUUGAAAAAAUCAUAGUCAUUUAGUUUGGAAAAGACCCUUAAGAUCAUUAAGUUCAACCAUAAACCCCAAAAAUGUUGCUUUGUGUUAAAUAUAGAAUUAUCAUACUAGCUGCAAGAUCUUCUCAUGUAAGUGAAAAGAGGUGCAAAAGUGCUACAGUUCUAUUCAGCAUAAUUUCAAGUUUAAAUCCUAUUACUUUUCUUAGCACAAGUCUGUUCUUGGUGGUAGGUGUAAUUGAUCAUUAAUGCAAGACACACUGCUGUUAGGCAGAAAGGCAAUUCAUCUCAGGUUAGCUUCUGUAUUUCAAAGCUAUAAAAUACUUCAAGUAAGAUGAAAAUGAUGUGUUUAAAAAUCCCACGCUGUGAAUCACUGAUCAUUGCCAUACUUUCUCCAUUUGCAAGGGUGAAGGAGAUUAUUUAUUUUUAAGAACAUUCAAAGAUAUCAGCUGUGAUGAAAUAGCCAUCUUGUGCUUUGAAAGGAAACAUGGGACAGCUGAUGUUCUAUCACAUCUGAAAGGUACGGAGGUGCCAAGUCAAAAGACCAGUAAUUAGCAUUUAUACACACAGCAGGGUGGCAGAUAGGAUAGGAGUAGCGGCUGAUGAGAAAAUGGUGGUUUGAGAAAGUAUCCAGAUUAACUGAAUUGUCCACACAAUGAUAAGUAUCAACAAACCACAUAGGUACAGUAGGGAUGUGCAUGUCACAGAGAAUUUAUACCAAUGCAUACAAGCUCUUCUGUAGUGAUAAACCAAAUGUUCAACAGGUUUUAGCAGAGUGAAGUUUAUUUUGAUAAUUAAUUGUUACAGUAGGAUUCCGCAAAACAUCCUCUAUGCUGAUAAAUCUAUGCAACGUACAGAGUCACAACUAUUAUUUUUAUUUUGGAAACAAAUAAACGGAAAUACAGGGUAAAAUUCUCUAUCCCAAAUUGUAAGAAAAGAUCUGGAAUGGAAUCUAAGUUCUUAUCCUACACUUCCUCUCCUAAUGUAUUAGAGGAGUGGGAUAGUUUCAUUUCCUGAAGAAGCAGCAAUCGAACCAUUCUUAAUAUGAAUUGAUUCUCAAUGGAUUAAUCUGGUGUUAGAAUUUAAAUUGUGCUUGAUGUUGUUACCAGGAGUUACUGGAGACUUCUACUUUUUAUUUGAAUUUGCCCAGAUUCACAUUAAUUUAGACUAAGAAAGCAAAAUAUGAAAUUAUGACCAGCUAGCUUUAAACAGAUUUCAAAAGAAAACUGCAUAUCUGGGCAGAAGUUUUAAGAACCUUAGUAAACCCAGUGGAAAAAUGUUCUGUGUUUGUGUAUUUGAAAGUUAGACAAGUCCUGUCGCUUCGAGUUCACCAUUGCUGCUUCUCUGGCUUUGUGAACAGGAUUGACGUAACAACCAAAUGAGGGAUACUUCUUGCAGUGGGAGACAUGUCCUGGAGGGUUUUUUAAUAGCUGAAUUAGUUAUUGAAGUUACUAGGUAUAUGGCAAAGAUUCCUGGUCUCAUUCUCACUCUAUAGCUCUCUCAGAGCUAGGAUGUGAUUGUUUGCUGGACUUGAUUAUCAUAGGGAUUUUAGUAAGUAACCAGGUUACUUACAGUAUGGGUCUAAACAGCAGAGUAAAUGGUACAAGUAAUUGGUAGUUUUCACGCUGCAAAUUUUCCUAUUGAAAAGAAGUUUGUAAUUGAAUCAAGUUUUUCAUACAAAAGCAUCAGUUUCUGAGAGAUACUGAGGGGUUUUUGGGUAGGAAAUGUAAAAUUGUUGAAACUUAUGUGCCAGGUAUGAUUUUAAUCAAAAAACACUUGUUAUUUUGAUUCAGUAGAAAAAACAGCUUGAUUUCUUUGAUUUAAACAAUUUAAACCCCCACAAAACAAGAAUAAAAGUGACCAAAUAAAUCCAUCUUCUACAUAUAAAUGUAAAUAUGAAGUUAAAGGUUUCAUUUAGUUUUACUGAACGCCUAUGAAUUGUUUGAUAUUUCUUUUCUCACAAAUUUUUGUUGUUUUUCUUUUAACUUAAAACAAUGAACACAUUUUUUUCUUAAUUGAAUAGUCCGCAUAGUAUGAAAAAGCUUCAGUAUCUAGUGCUACCUUUUUGCAAGCGCCGGUGAGUUUAGAGAAAGGGAACCGAGAUUUGGGGGUUAUGUAUUCAGGUCAUUUUGAAACUUGUGCCACUUUGGAGAAAUCACCUUCAUUUCUUGUUCUUUAGCUCCCCAAACACAAAAGGGGAAUAAAUGCUUUCCUCCCUCAAGCAAAUGCAGAGAGCCUCAGAUGGAAACUACUGGAGAAGGACAACACACUGUGUAAAAUUAUUAGCUUUGUUAAUCCAGGCCAGCUCAUUUGUUUCUCACAGAGACUGUAACAGAACUGAAUUGCCCCUAUCUGCUAUUACUAUUUCCUCAGUGUUCUCCACUCUGUUUCCAAAUGGAACAAUUUUAGCUGUUGCUAAAGGGUUUAACACUCUUGAUUUGUGGCAACAACUCCCACAAAGUUGCAUUGUGGCCACUGAAGUGAUUAUUCUGAAUGAGCAAAAAAAGGCAACCUGACUGGCAAUUGCAUUCCACUGCCUGCCCCUCAGCCCGGCACCUGCUCUACUGACACACCGCUCCAUCCCAGAGAGCCGUAUUCCUUAGUAAGGGCCAUUGAAGCAUUUAGUGGAGCUCUUUACAUUGAAACAGCUUUGUCUGCUCCUAUCUAUCCUUUAGGCUUCUUUUGCUGAAGAUAAGUCCUUUAAAAGGUUGUAGUUUUGCGAUGACUCCACUCAGUGAAGCUCUCCUUGCUUCCCUGGGUAGCUUUGCUGCCGCUCACUUGCAGAAGGGAAAAGUAUCCAAUAAAGCAAUUUUGUAGCUUUUUUUUCCUUUUAAAUAAAAACAUUGAGAAAGUUCAGCUAGUGGUUGCAUAUACUGACUAAUAUUAAAAGUAACCAAUUAUUUUGGCUUUAAUAGACUUUUUAAACUGUCAUAAAUACAACCCCUGAGCAUGGAGAAUGAGAUUGUUAGAGAAUCCCAGGAAACACAUGAAUUUGGAAUUAAACCCAAGUCACAGUGCAAAUAACACAUGGGUAAGAACAAUGGCAAUAAUAUACUCAAACGAAGCAUAAGCCAUUUCAUUAAAAAAAAGAUAAAAUUAAAGCAUUAAUUAUUGAAGAUCCACAUAUCAGUUCACCUCUUUUCAGACUUCUGGGCAGCAUGAUUAAGCUAAGAGCUGAAUCUUGUUGUGGGAAAAAAAAUGAGUCCAUGCUAACAAGAAAGCAAGGAACCUUCUCAUUUAACUCUUUCUACCUCAAGGACCUGGAUGAGUUAGUAAAGAAGCUUAACGUCUCUGGACUUAGAGAUUGCAGUCCAUCAGUGUGUAAAAGUCCCAGUGGCAAAGUCCUAUACAGUCAAACUCCUUUUUCUGUUCAAGGUUAUGAAUAUUUUUCCACUGAAUUUUAGCUUUUGGAAUUUCUUUCAACCUAUAUAAAUAACGAUCCACUUUUAUUUCUCACUGUUUAGCUUCUGAACAUCACCAGUCUCUGAAUCCUGGCUGCACCAAACUUUCUCUUCUUGUUGUGAUACACAGAACUCUUGUGGGCUUCCAAAUUAUUGAUUCUAGACUUUGAAGGCUCAGUCCUGAUCCUUUUAAAAUUGACUUAAUUGUAUUGUCAGUGAGGGCUUACUUUAAGUUGGAAGAAAUAUCCUAUUAAAUAUGCAGGGGUAAACUACCUCUGUAUUUCUUUCCUUUUAGGUUUGAGUCUUAUUUCUUUAAAGACUACUGGCUGUUAAACUGUAUUCAGUAGUAGUUCCAUUUUUACAGGGGUAAGGGUAGGAUAUAGUUUCAGCCCGAGCCUUCCAGUCAAGGAAGUUCAGAACCUGACUAGCAUACUCCAGUUCCCUUUUUUUUGGUUACAUCUCCUGCUGUUGUCCAAAGUGUUAGAGUCUGCUUUACACAGAAGAAAGACAUCCUGUCCAAAACAUUCUGAAAACAUCUACGGAAUUUUUUUUACUGUGUAAUAAAUGCUGUUUUUACUAUACAUCACUGCUGAGUGGUGCUAAUACAUAUAAUCCAAACAAAAAAAAAAAUUGAUUUUUGACAUCUAUGUUUCCUUGUGCUUCUUGAAUGAUGAAUACUUUUUAAAAAUUUUCAUUUAAAAAUAUGUGCCAAAGUGAAUAUACAGGCUCAUAACAGUCUAUUAGCUUUUGCAUCAAUAUCAUAGUUUUCCAACAGGACUGAAAUUCAAUUUAUAUUUAAGACACCAAGCAAAUUAUAUAGUAUGGUGAUAGGCCAAUUUUUUCCUUAAUACAAUGUUUACAAAGUCCGUGAUGUUACUCAGGGGAUAAAUUUAGGGGAUAAAGCCAGUUCUUUCUCUGGUAUAAAUCAGCCUGCCACCUCUAGUGGCAAAUAAAAGCAGGUUUUGCUAUAUCAUCAUUUAUGGAAAUAACCGGGGAGGUAGUAUAGAGGGGAAAAAGAUCUCUCUUUUUAUGGGAUCCAAGUCUUUAAAAACACAUAAUGAGCCCAUUACAUGCUUGAAAUAGCUGAAGAAGAUACCGGUCAGCUGUUACUUGUCUCAGAUAUGUGUAGCAGCCAACUCCUUCUGGUUAAACCCUUAUCAAAAGCCAAUGGGAACCUACAUAUUUUCUCUCCAUUUAAACUAAUUGAUUUUCACAUUUGGAUCUAAUUGCAAGCCAUAAAACCCAUAGAUAACAUGGAAACAUUAUUCUAUGAUUCUAUGGCCAGUUUUGGCUUUAAGGAAACAACUGGGGCUUCCACUUACUGCAUAGACACAGAGGCAAUUAUUUUUCCAUUCUCCUUCCGGUAGUCACUUAUCUCUACUAACUGCUUAAAAUUCAAGAAUGCCACAGUGUUUACUAGUAAUGUUUAAGCCAACCUAUAGUAAACAUGGGCUUGAAUUUACACUCUGAAGCCUAGGAGAUCAGAUCAACCUGGGGAAAUCUGAAAACUUCAUUUAAUUCUGUAGCUUUAACUUGUCCUAAAUUCAUAACAAGAGCUGGGCUAUAUUUCUGACUGCGAUUCAUGUUUUGCCAGAUGGGUACAAGCCAUCAUUUGCCAAGAGAGGCAGAGCAUGUUUCAUCGUGAAAUUCAGAAAAACACUCCAUGCUAAUACGUCAGAGUGCUUCCAACUGAAAAAUAGACAGGUUUGUGUCCGAGGUUUAUGCAGCAUUUCCUCUUUGGGUUAUCUGUUUAGAUCAAUAGAAGUGCUGAGACAGAUCAAGUGGAUCAUUUCCAUUUGAGUAUUAUGAAAUAAAUGUUUAGAUUAUCCUCAAGAGACUAUUCAGUUUAUUGACAUGUAAUGUUAUCUCCAAGUAGGAAUCUGUGCAUGCUCACAGGCCAGGAAAGAGAUUCCCUUCACAUCGCCUUUGGCUGGUGACACUGGUUCUACAGUAUACAAAAGCUGUUGCUUUCUAGAGUUGUUAAUCUAUGGAACUAAAUCAUUCACAGAUAAAAGGAUUGAAAAAGUUAUUUUUGGCACUGUCUCUAUAGUGGCCCAGAGAAUAGAACUCACUGUUGUCUUGUGUAUUUUUACAGAACAAUGCAAAAUAGUUUAGAUAACAAACCUGGCUCAGAUUUGUGCCUCUCUAUAAGUUUUAGCUCUUCUAUGCUGCUUGUUCAGCAGUUGCCUUUCUUUAUAACUGGGUUUUGGCAAAGAAAUUGCAUCAAGUUCACACAUGUUAAAAAAAAGCUCAGAAAAAAACCAAACAACAAAACAAAAUCAAAAUUUUCCACUUAAAUUUGAGAAGAAACUUCUUCUCAGUAAGGGUGACAGAGCACUGGAACAGGCUGCCCAGGUAGGUUGUGGAGUCUCCUUCUCUGGAGACAUUCAAUACCCGCCUGGACAUGUUCCUGUGCGACCUCACCUAGGCGUUCCUGCUCCAGCAGGGGAAUUGGACUAGAUGAUCUUUUGAGGUCCCUUCCAAUCCCAAACAUACUGUGAUACUGUGAACACUGUGAAAAUCUUUGCUUUUCGGUUUGUGAAUCGAAAUCCGAUCAUAAAGAAGGCUAUUCCUUGAACCAAUGACGCCUCACAGUAACUUAGAAGAAGCUCUUGGAUAUGUCUAUAUGCAGUCUGUCCCUUGUGGAGCUUUGCAUGAAAACAUUUGUCAUUUCAUUUCACAUAAUUAUACAUCAAUGAAAUGUGAAAAUGCCAACAGUUGUUCCAUAUUUUUUGGCACCUCAGCUGACUCAUAAGGCACUGCUUUCCUUUGAUAUCAUUAUUAGGAAAAAAGAAAUGUGAGAAAUGAAGUAGAACUUCAGCAUUAGAAUUUCAGAUGUUGGAUUUUCAAUGUUUGCUCUGAAAAGCAAUGUUAGUUAAGAAGCUUUAUAGCAACACUGAAUCCUCAACACAUAACUGUGCAUUUUUUCCCUUUUUGUCCUUCCCUGAUUCUGUUGGGGCCUAGCCACUAUAAUGUAUAUUUUCAGGAUUUUCAGGAAAACCCAAUGAGUGAUCAUUUUUGGCACAUGGAAUUGACAGUAAAGACACUUUCACUGUGAUUCAGAAGAGCCAGGAGCUGCAAACUGACUGGGACAUUGCAUUUUUCCAUAGUCUUUCACAUUGGAACAACUACUAUCCUAAACACCAUCCUUUCUGCUUCUCUUUGUGCUUCAUCUGAGAAACAAAAAUACAGAGUGAACAACCCACUUAUGGGAAAUGCUUAGAAGGAAUGCAAAGUCCAAGCAGAGGUUCCUGUUCCUUCAGUGCUUUAUCACCUUUUUGUUCACUGUACUUUCUUUUCUGAAUGCCUGAUUAGAAUUCUGUCCUCUGUACAGCAAGGUUUGGAUUGUAGUGGAACAGCUCCUUUACCUCAUAAGUUUUGGUCUCCACCUGAAGGAUAGCCUGUGGCUUUCCAAAUUGUGUGGUAUAAUGGGAGCAGAUAUAGGUUUCAUUUGAACUUGUUUACUGGCUGAUGCUGUGGAAAAACUGAAUGGCACAAAGUGUCUGUUGUCAGGGAGAGAUAAAACAUGUGCUGUGAUUUAAAGAGAGAUUGCUCAGAGGUACUUUGGCCAGAAGGUGCCUGGGAGACAUGGCAGUUACUUUGGGCCUUGAUUCCUUAUUAUUUUUAUAGUGCUAGUGACUGUUAUUGACAUGUGGCCAUGAUGGUGCUGAAUUAAGCAAGCAGCAGUUUUCUUCAGGCCCAAGCAGCUGCCAGUUUUUCUAGUUUAAUAUGCAUUCGUCUUUGCUAUAUUCAGAGGAACAUGUAAUGAAAAUCACUGUAUUAGUUAUGAGCUGUCUUCAGUGAAGAAUUUCAAUUACUGUCAAUUACUGUGGUAGAGUGUCGGCUUCCUGCAGAGAAGGGGUACAGCAUGACACAUCAAAAUAACAAAUAUGUGACAGAUCCAUUUUAAUUGUCUUUCUUAUCUGUACUUAACCUCUAUCAUUGUAACAAAAAAAAAGGGGAAGAGAAGGGAAGAGAGGAGCUAACCUUUUCUUACAGAUAAUGGUGGAAGGUAAAGCAGAGGAUAGAAAAACAGCCAGCAGCUAUCAGCUUAUGAAACAGCAACGUCAGGGAGUCCCUCCAUGGACACCAGCUGGUGUGUGUUUGCUGUCCUGAUCAAAACAGUUUCCAUCUAAUAAUCUGAUUGGAUAUUUCCGUUGCUUGCCACUGCAUUAUUCAUCAGAUAAAGAGGACCAGAUGGUGAUCUUUUGUCAUAAGCAGGAUUUUGAAUGAGGUAGUUAUAGAAGUUUGGCCAGUGAUUUCCUGGACCCAUACAGGAGUGCCUCUAAGUUGCUCCCUCUAGAGCAGUAAGGACUGGUUUUUGUCGUGUUGAUCUGUCUCAACAUUUUUCAUCUUCUCUGCUCCAGAAUUAUCUUUGCCCAGGUAGGGUGAAAGGGUUUGUUAGUUAAAUAUUGUCAGUGGGGUUAUCUCCAGAUUUGCAAUCUGUCCAGCUCAAUUCCCUGCAGCUGUACAUUGCUGCACAAGUGUCUUUCCUGCCAAGUAUCUCUGGGGCAAUGACACAAGUCCUGAGCAUUUUUUUUGUAACACCUCCCAUAUUUCAGUACUCAAGAUCAAAACCAUGCUGAAUAUACAGAAAUAUGCUUGGUUUUGUUGGAUUCUAUAAAACAGGGUAAGUAAAGGUGGAAGUGUUUGAGAAAUCAGUAAUCAUUGAGUGGGGAUUAUUUUCCCUUAGAAAUAAAAAUGGCUAUGAAAGCAGUAGACUUUUCUAGCAUGUCAGAAUUAUAAUUACUGCAGCAAAAGGAGGCCCUAAUCACCUCUAAUCCAUCCCGUAUCUACCAAAUGUAAUUUGAAUUUUAGGUGUUGGUUCUGGCCAUCUGUACUGUGGGCAGAUGUAUUGGGUUUGCAUGGCAAGGUUUUGGUAGCAGCAGUUGCUACAGGGGUAGCUUCUGUGAGAAGCUACUAGAAUGUCCAGUCAGCUUCAGGACAGACCUGCUGCUGGCCAAGGCCAGGCCCAUCAGCAAUGGUGGCAGUGCCUCUGGGAUAACAUAUUUAAGAAGGGGGAAAAUAUGGUGAAAAGAGCAGCCAGAGAGAGGAGUGAGAAUAUGUGAAACAUCUCUGCAGACACCAAGGUCAGUGAAGGAGGAGGGCAGGAGGUGCUUCAGGCACUGGAGCAGAGAUUUCCCUGCAGCCCGUGGUGCAGCCCAUGGUGAGGCCGGCUGUCCCCUGCAGCCCAUGGAGGUCCGUGGUGGAGCAGAGAACCACCUGCAGCUUGGGGAGAACCCCACACCAGAGCAGGUGGGUGCCCAAAGGAGGCUACGACCACAUGGGAAGCCUGUGCUGGAGCAGGGUCCUGACAGGACCUGUGACCCCAUGGAGAGGAGCCCAGGCUGGAGCAGGUUUGCUGGAAGGACUUGUGACCCCAUGGGGGACCCAGGCUGGAGCAGUCUGUUCCUGAAGGACUGCACCUUGCUGGGAAGAACCCACACUGGACCAGUUCAUGAAGAACUGCAGCCUGUGGGAAGGACUCAUGUUGGACAAAUUCAUGGAGGACUGUCUCCCAUGGGAGAGACCCCACGCUGGAACAGGGCAAGAGUGUGAGGAGUGCUCCUCCUGAGGAGGAAGGAGCAGCAGAGACAACAUGUGAUGAACUGACCACAGCCCUGACUUCCAAUCGCCCUGCACCUCGGUGCGGGGAGGUAGAGAGUUUGGGAGUGAAGUUGAGCCUGGGAAGAAGGGAGGGGUGGGAGAAGGUGUUUUUAAGAUCUCAUUUUAUUUCCCAUUACCCUCCUCUGAUUUGAUUAAUAAUAAAUUAAACAAGUCAGUCUGUUUUGCUCAUGAUGGGAAUUGGUGAAUGAUCUCUCCCUGUCCUUAUCUUGACCCAUGAGCCUUUCAUUAUAUUUUCUCUCCCCUGCCCCACUGAGAAGGGGAGUGAUAGAGGAGCUUGGUGGGCACCUGGUGUCCAGCCAAGGCCAACGCACCUUAGCAGAGCAAGAUGAGCCUAGUGCUGUAUUUUGAGAUGUCUGAAAGGUGUGAAGCAAACAGUACCAAAAUGAAAAAGGAGCAUGGAACUUUGAAUGGUCUCUUGGGAUCUGACUCAUAAUUUCUGCUUGACAGUGGCCUUUCAUGGUAGUCUAAAUAUGUAACAUAAAUAUUCAUGAGCAAUCCUGAUGAAAGUUACCACACAAUUUUUCAGCUGUGUUUGUAAACUCUUCACCUGAUUCCUUAAAGAUGCUACUGGUAUUCUGUUAAUUUACAGGUCAUUUUAUUCAAUAUGAUGGAUUGGAUGUAACGUUUCAAGAUGUAAUAAUCGAGAUUUUUUUUUUUUUUUUUUAAUGCACCUGCAUUUGCCUCUGAGAUAUCACUCCUUUAAAGCCUUAGGGAGUUUCAGGGAAAUUUUUAACAAGAGCUUGGUUUUUAAGCACAGGAAAAAAUGCUAAUUAUUUAACAAAGGCUGGAUUAGGUAAGUCUACUUAUGUUUCAUGGAAACAUCUGGAGACUUUUUCCUAAUUGCUUUGAAUUACUACUUUCGAGUGAGAUGGACAAUUUCAGAGUCUUUCAAACCUAAAGGGGAUGUUCUUUUCUCUGAUGGAAAAAAAACCCUUGGCCUUUGCAUGUAAUGUGUGCAGCUCAUUGUGCUGUGCUUCCUUGGCUUCUCAGUUGGUCUCUCUUGCAAAAUUCUUGUCGUAUCUACAUUACCAGAAUGCUACUGUACCAUAGAACACUUUAUUAUGGGACUGGGUGGCUGUCUGUGCUAGAUAAAUUCCAAUUUCUCUGUCCAUGGUUGAUUGUGCCUCAUUUGGGAUGGUGUCUGUGUGUGACCACUAUUAUGAGGUGAAUUUUCCUUAGUGAUGUAUCCCAGAAAUAACAAGAUCUGUUCCUUGGCUUCCUCUCAGUUGCAAAUCUCCUGUACUCUCAUGCUGGUUUUGCAGCCUCUGUUUUUCAUUUUGCCUGGAAUUCAUGUUUCUGGUUUAGGAUUUCAUAAAUUGCCUACUUAGCUUGAGUUAACUGAAGCUGCUAAACCACAUCAAAUGACUCAAAGAUCACUCAUUGUCAAGUACAGGAUAUGUAGAAUGUUGUUUUUAUUAUCAUGUAUUCCUCUCAGGUACAGCACUCAAAGCUGUUUGAAUAUUUUCCAGUUUUCUGAAGUUCUGGAGAAUUUAAGCUGUUACAGAGCUUGGAGCUGUUCCUUGGUUCCUUCACAGUUUGUCUAGCUCCUGGCAACAUGCACUGUUCAGAAUGAUAUCUGAACAGAGAAUCUGACGUCUUCAAAGUAUCUCAGUAGUUUGACUUCAGUUCUGUUGCAAGUGAGACUUAA